UAAUACAGAGGGUGCGAGCGUUGUUCGGAAUUACUGGGCGUAAAGCGCGCGCAGGCGGCCCUUUAAGUCCGUCGGUCAAAUGCCGGGGCUCAACCCCGAGCGUGCCGAGGAUACUGGAGGGCUGGAGACACGUAGAGGCAAGCGGAAUUCCGGGUGUAGCGGUGGAAUGCGUAGAGAUCCGGAAGAACACCGGAGGCGAAGGCGGCUUGCUGGGCGUGAUCUGACGCUGAGGCGCGAAAGCGUGGGGAGCGAACAGGAUUAGAUACCCUGGUAGUCCACGCCGUAAACGAUGGGCACUAGACGCUGGUGGGAUCGACCCCUUCGGUGUCGCAGCUAACGCGAUAAGUGCCCCGCCUGGGGAGUACGGCCGCAAGGCUG
rnacentral:rRNA from 1 species